rnacentral:rRNA from 1 species
UUAACACAUGCAAGUCGAACGGAUUACAUUUGUAGCUUGCUACAAAUGUAAUGUAGUGGCAGACGGGUGAGUAAUGCAUAGGGAUCUACCUAGUAGUAUGGGAUAGCCACUAGAAAUGGUGGGUAAUACUGUAUAAUCCCUGCGGGGGAAAGAUUUAUCGCUAUUAGAUGAGCCUAUGUUAGAUUAGCUAGUUGGUAGGGUAAAGGCCUACCAAGGCGAUGAUCUAUAGCUGGUCUGAGAGGAUGAUCAGCCACACUGGAACUGAGAUACGGUCCAGACUCCUACGGGAGGCAGCAGUGGGGAAUAUUGGACAAUGGGCGCAAGCCUGAUCCAGCUAUGC